UCUUCUGCCAAGAAACAAAAGCAGGCAAAGCCACUGUCCUUGCUUUCCCUCAGAUGCAUUUUACUUCCAAGGUGAACCAGGCUUUGGUGGCACAAUGGGACCCAAGAAGCCCCAUGUUCUGCACCUCUUCACUGGAAAAGACAGAAAACAGCAUUUGAAAGCAGAGGUUCACCUUCCACUGAAUACCAGAGUUUCCACAAACCAAGAUUAAGAGGAGAAAGAAGAAGUUGGAUUUGUGU
rnacentral:lncRNA from 1 species